CCUGUGGAGCGUCAAAAAAACGUGAGUAGCCUUGGCAAAAGCGGACGUGUUGAAGCAGGAA
rnacentral:sRNA from 12 species